GAUGCCAAGACGGUACUCACAUUACCUGUGGGCA
rnacentral:tRNA from 1 species